AGUUGCAGGGUAUAGACCCGAAACCCGGUGAUCUAGCCAUGGGCAGGUUGAAGGUUGGGUAACACUAACUGGAGGACCGAACCGACUAAUGUUGAAAAAUUAGCGGAUGACUUGUGGCUGGGGGUGAAAGGCCAAUCAAACCGGGAGAUAGCUGGUUCUCCCCGAAAGCUAUUUAGGUAGCGCCUCGUGAACUCAUCUUCGGGGGUAGAGCACUGUUUCGACUAGGGGGUCAUCCCGACUUACCAACUCGAUGCAAACUACGAAUACCGAAGAAUGUUAUCACGGGAGACACACGGCGGGUGCUAACGUUCGUCGUGAAGAGGGAAACAACCCAGACCGCCAGCUAAGGUCCCAAAGUCAUAGUUAAGUGGGAAACGAAGUGGGAAGGCUCAGACAGCCAGGAUGUUGGCUUAGAAGCAGCCAUCAUUUAAAGAAAGCGUAAUAGCUCACUGGUCGAGUCGGCCUGCGCGGAAGAUGUAACGGGGCUAAACUAUGCACCGAAGCUGCGGCAGCGAUAUGUAAAUAUUGUUGGGUAGGGGAGCGUUCUGUAAGCCUGUGAAGGUGUACUG
rnacentral:rRNA from 1 species